CAGCUGAUGUACGGUGAAACUGCGAAAGGCUCAAUAGAUCAGUGAGAAUUGGAUUGAGGAUGGGAAUACUAGAUGGAUAACCGUGGUAAUUCUAGAGCUAAUACAUGGGGAAGGGGCGACUCGCUUUCGGGGGGGAAGCCCGGCAUUUAUUAGAUAGCACCGGAAGCACAUGUAAGAGUGUGUGGGGAGGAUUCAUGAUAAUUGGCGGAUCGUAUGGCGAGAGCUGACGACGGAUCAAACAAAUGACUGCCCUAUCAGCUGUGGAUGGUAGGAUAGAGGCCUACCAUGGCGAUGACGGGUGACGGAGAAUUGGGGUUCGAUUCCGGAGAGGGAGCCUGAGAAAUGGCUGCCACAUCCAAGGAAGGCAGCAGGCGCGCAAAUUACCCAAUCCCGAGACGGGGAGGUAGUGACAGAAAAUAACAAUGCUGGGCCAGUAGGUUUGGCAAUUGGAAUGGACUGAGAGUAAAGAGCUCGGUGAGAAACGAUU
rnacentral:rRNA from 1 species